rnacentral:tRNA from 1 species
UCCCAGGUGGCUCAGAUGGUAAAGAAUCUGCCUGUAAGGCAGGAGACAUGGGUUCAAUCCCUGGAUUGGGAA